rnacentral:rRNA from 1 species
UGGGGAAUAUUGCACAAUGGGCGCAAGCCUGAUGCAGCAACGCCGCGUGAGGGACGACGGCCUUCGGGUUGUAAACCUCUUUUAGUAGGGAAGAAGCGAAAGUGACGGUACCUGCAGAAAAAGCACCGGCUAACUACGUGCCAGCAGCCGCGGUAAUACGUAGGGUGCAAGCGUUGUCCGGAAUUAUUGGGCGUAAAGAGCUCGUAGGCGGUUUGUCGCGUCUGCUGUGAAACCCCGAGGCUCAACCUCGGGCCUGCAGUGGGUACGGGAAGACUAGAGUGCGGUAGGGGAGAUUGGAAUUCCUGGUGUAGCGGUGGAAUGCGCAGAUAUCAGGAGGAACACCUAUGACGAAGGCAGAUCUCUGGGCCGUAACUGACGCUGAGGAGCGAAAGCAUGGGGAGCAAACA